UACAGAGGGUGCGAGCGUUGUCCGGAAUCACUGGGCGUAAAGGGCGCGUAGGUGGCGACCCAAGUCUGUGGUGAAAGCUCGCCGCUUAACGGCGAGUCGGCCAUGAAUACUGCCGCGGCUGGAGCACUGUAGAGGCAGGCGGAAUUCCGGGUGUAGCGGUGGAAUGCGUAGAGAUCCGGAAGAACACCGGUGGCGAAAGCGGCGCGCUGGACCUCUUCUGACGCUGAGGCGCGAAAGCUAGGGGAGCAAACGGG
rnacentral:rRNA from 1 species